GACCCCGUGGCAUGUGCUAUUAUGUAUCCGCUCGACCUUCGUUGGUGUAUCAAGCGGAAGGAACCGGUUCGAUUCCGGCCGGGGUCC